ensembl:lncRNA
CUCAGGUGGAAGAAAGAGUGGCCAUGGCCUAGCAGACCCCACCUUGCAACCAAGCCUUUCCCUGCUGGCCCUGCUCCUAUUGCCAGUAGAAAGGAGAAGGGUGGGCAGGGAAAAAAGCCACUCGAACUUGCCUGCAGCUGAUGUGAGGGGCCAGACUGGACAGCCAGCAACAAAAAGGGGUCAGAAACCAGCCUUGAGUCAACUCCACAGCCUUUUUUGCAUGUAAAGCACAAGAAUGGAAUGACUUCAGAGUCUGAGUCCAGCUGCCCCCCAUUUGGCUCAUGGCAGGACAAAUCUAGUGACUCUGUAAUCUGUGUGCCAGGCAUUUUUUGAAGCAGGAACAUAAUUUAAUUCCCUUUAAGGAGAUCAAAACCAGGAAACGUUUAAGUAGGACUUCCUGCCCAGUGUGAAAUACAAAUUCUUUUCAUCAUGGAAAGCAAACUGAGCUUAAACAAUAGCAUAAUGAAAGUGGUUAUGCAAUGAAGUUGUAAGAGAUCAAAGCCGAUUUUGGUUUUCAAUUAAGAUAACAAGGUACCUGGCUAAAGGAAGCUAGUGGUAAUCCACUGCCUAACUGUUUAAAGAAACACAAACACUUGCCCAUUAAUUUGCUGCAUGCACAGAAGAAAAUGAGGCAGCAGAUGAAUUUGUUCUUACAGUCAGGAUUUGAAACUGGGAAAUGUGCUGCUUGAAUUUAUCUGUAUCAGAGACCACAAGAGUUCCAGACAAGGGUCCCAUUACCCCACAUAAUGUGAGGAUGAAGCUGGACAGGUGCUACCUGCCUGCAUCCCACCCCAGCGCACGAGGUCUGGUCAUGCACAGCCCCUCAGCAGGAAGCUGUUUGUAUAUUUGCACUGGGGGAAAAGGAGAAAGAGCAGGAGGGAUUGGCUCCCUCUGCAUGCACCAAGUUGUCCACAAGUGCUGCGUGCUGUCGGCAACUUCUCCUUGGACCAUUAAGAGCGAGGGCUGGGGUACAGGGACUCCUGGAUCUGUUUAAAGAGAAAUCCGUGACCUGUACCUGACCUAUCUUCAGAUCACCAUCAGCCUGCACAGAGAGUGAGAGACUUUGCUGCUGCAGUGCAAAUUGUUAAAUAUUACUGUUUUCUCUGGGGAAGAAGCAUAGGCAUGCUGUGGUUUUUCCACUGACCACCAGAGGACAAAAAUGAGAAUUUCAUCUUUCUGCCCCAGGGAUGGGGCAUGGCUGCGUCCAUUACCUCUCUGGGAAACCUGCUGCAGUGCUUCAUUAUCCAUAAGGAUAAUAAUUGUAAAAUCUUUUCUCUUACAUCCAAUCUCAAUUUCCCAUUUUGGUUUGAAACCAUUUCCCCUUGUCCUAUCACAACAGACACUGCUAAAGAUUCUGUCCUCCAUGUUACACAUCUGUCCACAGUCCACUUGAGUAAAAUUUAAGCCUGGCAAUGAGAAAUUGGUAAAAUCCUCAAGAAAAGAGCUCUGGAAGUACAGGUGAAGAACAGUCUCCUGAGCAGUGAUCACUGACCUACCGCUGGACCUCAGAAAUCUCUGUGAGCUUCAGCAGAGGUUAGAUGCUCGAUGCAGACGUGCCUUUCUAUAACAGAAUAGAAGACAACAUGGUUUACUAGAUACUAAAUGUAUCUCACUCUGUACUACCUAUUAACAUAGAGUCACUUCUAAUGGUUCCUACAGAUUCUUUUAACAGUUGUGUUGGACUGUUCCAUAAGGACUCCAGUAACUGUUUAAGGACAGGAAAAAGUAAAGGAAUUUAAUGCAGUGGAUAUAGGCUGCAAUCUUUUUUCCUGUUUCUUACAGUACAGUAUUUUUAAAUUCACAGAAUCACAGAAUCUCCUGAGCUGGAAGGGAUCCGCAAGGAUCAUGGAGCCCAGCUCCUUGCUCCACACAGCACCACCCCAAAUCCAAACCCUAUGUCUGAGAGCGGUGUCCAGACACAGCUUGAACUCCAGCACUCAGGGCUGUGCCCACUGCCCUGGGCAGCCCAUUCCAUGCCCUCUGGUGCGGAAUCUGUCUCUAACCCCCAGCUGCCCCUCCCCUGACACAGCUCCAUGCCGUUCCCUCAAGUGAAAUUUAAAUACAUAUGUAUGUGUAUCCCUGAAGAAAAUGACUUUCAGUUUGGUACAAAAUAAAAUUCUGUACAACAACCA